AUGACGCCUCCGACGGCCACCUCCCUCACCCUCCUCGUCCUCGCCGCCAUCACCAUGGUCGCCGCGGCGGACGGGCCGCCCGCCACCUACCUGUUCUUCGUCGACCCCACACCGCCCGGCGUCACCUGCAUGCAGUACCACCUCGGCAUCCUCACCGCCGCCCUCGGCAGCGAGGAGAAGGCGAAGGCGGCGAUCAUAUACAACUACAAGAACGUGGUCAGCGGCUUCUCGGCGAGGGUCACGCCGGCCGAGCUCGAGGCCAUCAAGAAGCAACCGCAUGUGAACCGGGCGCUGCCGAGCGCGACGUUGCAACUCAUGAGCAGCAACUUCGACGGCGUCAACUGA
rnacentral:rRNA from 1 species